rnacentral:lncRNA from 1 species
UUUGGGGUUAUCCUACAAAAUAAUGUAUAUAAGACAAGGAUCUAAGCUAAUCGGUCUGUAAAUGCUUGACAUAAAAUAAAUACUCCCAAACUCUAAGGUAAGAAAGUAUCGGCUUAUGCCUAGUCCAUAUCUUAUAUGGAGUUAUUAUGUCUGAUUAAUUCAGAAUCCAAUUCAGAAUAUAACAAGCAGUCUUAAGAGCAAAUCCUAAAACAAGACUGGCAGAUUUGUAAACUC